UGCAGUCGAGCGGUAACAGAAAGUAGCUUGCUACUUUGCUGACGAGCGGCGGACGGGUGAGUAAUGCUUGGGAACAUGCCUUGAGGUGGGGGACAACAGUUGGAAACGACUGCUAAUACCGCAUAAUGUCUACGGACCAAAGGGGGCUUCGGCUCUCGCCUUUAGAUUGGCCCAAGUGGGAUUAGCUAGUUGGUGAGGUAAUGGCUCACCAAGGCAACGAUCCCUAGCUGGUUUGAGAGGAUGAUCAGCCACACUGGAACUGAGACACGGUCCAGACUCCUACGGGAGGCAGCAGUGGGGAAUAUUGCACAAUGGGCGAAAGCCUGAUGCAGCCAUGCCGCGUGUGUGAAGAAGGCCUUCGGGUUGUAAAGCACUUUCAGUCAGGAGGAAAGGGUGUGAGUUAAUACCUCAGAUCUGUGACGUUACUGACAGAAGAAGCACCGGCUAACUCCGUGCCAGCAGCCGCGGUAAUACGGAGGGUGCGAGCGUUAAUCGGAAUUACUGGGCGUAAAGCGUACGCAGGCGGUUUGUUAAGCGAGAUGUGAAAGCCCCGGGCUCAACCUGGGAACUGCAUUUCGAACUGGCAAACUAGAGUGUGAUAGAGGGUGGUAGAAUUUCAGGUGUAGCGGUGAAAUGCGUAGAGAUCUGAAGGAAUACCGAUGGCGAAGGCAGCCACCUGGGUCAACACUGACGCUCAUGUACGAAAGCGUGGGGAGCAAACGGGAUUAGAUACCCCGGUAGUCCACGCCGUAACGAUGUCUACUAGAAGCUCGGAACCUCGGUUCUGUUUUUCAAGCU
rnacentral:rRNA from 1 species